GAUAAACGCUGGCGGCGUGCCUAAUACAUGCAAGUCGAACGCUGGAGACCGACUUCGGUUGGUCGAAGGAGUGGCGAACGGGUGAGUAAUACAUAAGCAACCUGCCCACGAAGACCGGGAUAAUCCCUGGAAACGGGGACUAAUACCGGAUAGGCAUUUGAGAGGCAUCUCUUAAAUGUUAAAGAUUAAAAGCACUGGUGGAUGGGCUUAUGGCGCAUUAGCUUGUUGGUGAGGUAACGGCCCACCAAGGCGAUGAUGCGUAGCCGGCCUGAGAGGGUGAACGGCCACAUUGGGACUGAGACACGGCCCAGACUCCUACGGGAGGCAGCAGUAGGGAAUUUUCGGCAAUGGGGGAAACCCUGACCGAGCAACGCCGCGUGAGUGAAGACGGCCUUCGGGUUGUAAAGCUCUGUUGUAAGGGAAGAACGGUACGGAGAGAAUCUGUAAGUGACGGUACCUUACCAGAAAGCCACGGCUAACUACGUG
rnacentral:rRNA from 1 species